CGAAAAUCAGAUUGACAGCCGUGUUCUCCUAGGAGUGGAGCCACGUGGCGCUGGCGAUCGCGGCGGAAGUAGUGAUGACAAUAACAUGCUACGACAUGCUGGCCUAGCAGAACGGUGCAACAGAAACGAGAAAGUGGCUGGAGUGCUCGCGAGGCCCUGAGGUUCCCUUCCCAGCGCCUCAAGGAGCCCAGAGAGGAGAACGAGAGCCCCUGGAGCUGGAGUUGGAUGCCUCUCAGCAGCCCAUGGGUUUCCCAAUGGACUCCUGGCUGUCCUGGACUUCACUGUGUACAUUAGUCUGGCCUCCAACUCAAAUCCACGGUCUCUGCCUCCCCAGUGAUGGACCCAAAGACAUGGGCCACCAUGCCUGGCCAAGAGGACAAAUUUUUCACAGCCUUGUGCAAAUGUGUGUUGUCUAAAACAGAACAAGGCCAACAACAACAACAUCUUAUAGGCUGGGGAUGGUUCACUGGGAAGACCAGUUGCUAUGCAAGCAAGAGGACCUGAGUUCCAAUCCCAGGUACCCCUUUAGAAGCUGUGCGUGGUUCUACAGCUUUGGGACCAGUGACAAGCAAAUCCCUGGAGCACGCUGGUCAGCCAGCUUCGAGAAAACUGCAAGCUUCAAGUUCAAUCUUUGAGACCUGGUCUCACAGGAGUAAUGCGGAGUUAGAACACCCAGCAUUCUGAUGGAGCCACCCUCCCAUGAGCAGCCGUGCAAAAGCACAGGACUGCGAACUUAUGAAGCGCUUGCUCCCGCUGCUGUUUAAUUCCCUUGAAGGUAUCCUGAUGGAUAAGUGCAGCCAACUUGCCCCCCAAGAACUUACACAGCCAUAGGUCUCUGGGCAUAGUGUGUCUGCUAGACCUCCUCAGGAUAGGUUUCUCCUAGUGUUCCUCCUCUCCUUUCUCCAGGGCAAACACACUGUUGUCUCGCUGGGGCCA
ensembl:lncRNA